rnacentral:tRNA from 1 species
AAAAAUUUUAUGAGCUAAGAUUUCGACUCUUUAAAAGAAUUAUUUCCAUUCUUG